ensembl:lncRNA
UAUCUGUGCUGUGUUACAGUGUAUCUGUGCUGUGUUACAGUGUAUCUGUGCUGUGUUACAGUGUAUCUGUUGUGUGUUACAGUGUAUCUGUGCUGUGUUACAGUGUAUCUGUUGUGUGUUACAGUGUAUCUGUUAUGUUGUAUCUGUUGUGUGUUACAGUGUAUCUGUUACAGUGUAUUUGUUACAGUGUAUCUGUUGUGUGUUACAGUGUAUCUGUUAUGUGUUACAGUGUAUCUGUUGUGUGUUACAGUGUAUCUGUUGUGUGUUACAGUGUAUCUGUUACAGUGUAUCUGUUACAGUGUAUCUGUUACAGUGUAUCUGUUAUGUGUUACAGUGUAUCUGUUACAGUGUAUCUGUUACAGUGUAUCUGUUAUGUGUUACAGUGUAUCUGUUGUGUGUUACAGUGUAUCUGUGCUGUUGUAUCUGUGCUGUGUUACAGUGUAUCUGUUGUGUGUUACAGUGUAUCUGUGCUGUGUUACAGUGUAUCUGUGGUGUGUUACAGUGUAUCUGUGCUGUGUUACAGUGUAUCUGUGCUGUGUUACAGUGUAUCUGUGCUGUGUUACAGUGUAUCUGUGCUGUGUUACAGUGUAUCUGUGUCUGAAACACCGAGACCCCUUUGAGAAGCAUCGUGUGUUACGAGAACGACCCUUCAAUAUCCACGCCACAGAUUCCUUCUACAGUGUAUAUCUGUCCUCAAUGAAGCGUUUUGAUACUGUCAUUAAGAGUAUGAAGAAGUAGAC